rnacentral:snRNA from 1 species
AUCGCUUCUCGGCCUUUUGGCUAAGAUCAAGUGUAGUAUCUGUUCUUAUCAGAGUGGAGAACCGCUUCUUCUUGCUAUUUGGAAGUGCAUGCGAUCUUGUUAUCCUUUUGACGACGAUUGAAGCUCUGCUCUCGAAGUCAGUAAGGUGAAACCAAGAGUUGUUUUUACAACUAUCUCAA